AGUGAACGCUGGCGGUAGGCCUAACACAUGCAAGUCGAACGGCAGCACAGUAAGAGCUUGCUCUUACGGGUGGCGAGUGGCGGACGGGUGAGGAAUACAUCGGAAUCUACUUUUUCGUGGGUGAUAACUUAGGGAAACUUACGCUAAUACCUCAUACGACCUACUGGUGAAAGCAGGGUAUCUUCGGACCUUGCGCGAUUGAAUGAGCCGAUGUCGGAUUAGCUAGUUGGCGGGGUAAAGGCCCACCAAGGCGACGAUCCGUAGCUGGUCUGAGAGGAUGAUCGGCCACACUGGAACUGAGACACGGUCCAGACUCAUACGGGAGGCAGCAGUGGGGAAUAUUGGACAAAGGGCGCAAGCCUGAUCCAGACAUACCGCGUGGGUGAAGAAGGCCUUCGGGUUGUAAAGCCCUUUUGUUGGGAAAGAAAAGCAGCAGGUUAAUACCCAGCUGUUCUGACGGUACCCAAAGAAUAAGCACCGGCUAACUUCGUG
rnacentral:rRNA from 1 species